UGAAUUGUAAAUGAAAAGGGAAGAAAGUGCAAAACUUUCGCUGUUCCCGCAACUGUAAACGUGUAAAGUCAUUUCUCUACAAACCACUGACAAUUGUUGGGAAGGUUGAAAUGAACGUGAGCCAGGAGACCUGCCUUUGUUUUUU
rnacentral:ncRNA from 1 species